rnacentral:rRNA from 1 species
AGUGAACGCUGGCGGUAGGCCUAACACAUGCAAGUCGAACGGCAGCACAGUAAGAGCUUGCUCUUACGGGUGGCGAGUGGCGGACGGGUGAGGAAUACAUCGGAAUCUACUUUUUCGUGGGGGAUAACGUAGGGAAACUUACGCUAAUACCGCAUACGACCUACGGGUGAAAGCAGGGGAUCUUCGGACCAUGCGCGAUUGAAUGAGCCGAUGUCGGAUUAGCUAGUUGGCGGGGUAAAGGCCCACCAAGGCGACGAUCCGUAGCUGGUCUGAGAGGAUGAUCGGCCACACUGGAACGGAGACACGGUCCAGACUCCUACGGGAGGCAGCAGUAGGGAAUAUUGGGCAAUGGGCGCAAGCCUGAUCCAGCCAUACCGCGUGGGUGAAGAAGGCCUUCGGGUUGUAAAGCCCUUUUGUUGGGAAAGAAAAGCAGCAGGUUAAUACCCCGCUGUUCUGACGGUACCCAAAGAAUAAGCACCGGCUAACUUCGUG